rnacentral:rRNA from 1 species
UACAGAGGUCUCAAGCGUUGUUCGGAUUCAUUGGGCGUAAAGGGUGCGUAGGCGGCGCGGUAAGUCGGGUGUGAAAUCUCGGAGCUUAACUCCGAAACUGCAUUCGAUACUGCCGUGCUUGAGGACUGGAGAGGAGACUGGAAUUUACGGUGUAGCGGUGAAAUGCGUAGAUAUCGUAAGGAAGACCAGUGGCGAAGGCGGGUCUCUGGACAGUCCCUGACGCUGAGGCACGAAGGCCAGGGGAGCAAACGGG